UGAACAAUGGUGUCUGGAGAAAUCGGUGAG
rnacentral:piRNA from 1 species